rnacentral:rRNA from 1 species
AUUGAACGCUGGCGGCAUGCUUUACACAUGCAAGUCGAACGGCAGCGCGGGCUUCGGCCUGGCGGCGAGUGGCGAACGGGUGAGUAAUACAUCGGAACGUGCCCAGUAGUGGGGGAUAGCUCGGCGAAAGCCGGAUUAAUACCGCAUACGACCUGAGGGUGAAAGCGGGGGAUCUUCGGACCUCGCGCUAUCGGAGCGGCCGAUGGCAGAUUAGCUAGUUGGUGGGGUAAAGGCCUACCAAGGCGACGAUCUGUAGCUGGUCUGAGAGGACGACCAGCCACACUGGGACUGAGACACGGCCCAGACUCCUACGGGAGGCAGCAGUGGGGAAUUUUGGACAAUGGGCGAAAGCCUGAUCCAGCAAUGCCGCGUGUGUGAUGAAGGCCUUCGGGUUGUAAAGCACUUUUGGCGGGAACGAAAAGGACUGUGCCAAUACCACGGUUCGAUGACGGUACCCGCAGAAUAAGCACCGGCUAACUACGUG